UGGUUGUUUAAACACAUAUGACUAGUUGCUCAUUUUAUUAUAAGUCAUUGUGUAUAGAGACAAUGAACAAUAACCUAUACAUUCAUUCAACUCAUUUAUUAGUGAUUUAUUAUAUUUUAGUACUCAUUUUAUUUACUUCAUUUUAAUUACUCGUAUUUAUUAACUCAGUCAUCACACAUGAGCCUGGGUGUUAGUCUUCAUGUAAUAUAAAACAAUGAUGAAGAUUUGGCCCCUGUCCUCUUUGAGCUGCAAAGAGCAAGGAGGACUCCUCCACAGACCAGUGUAGUCCAAGGUAGAAUGGGGGUAGGUCAAAGGGCUUUGAGAGUCAAAGGGUGGAAAGUCACGUGUCUGCCUGGAUGAAGACUUACAGAAUGAGUAGGACUGUCGUCAGUGAGGACGAGGAUGUUAAGUGCAGGCUAAGCCGCUGUACCAAAGAGGUCCACCAGACAGAAGCUUUACUACACUGGUAGUUCAUUUCUCCCUCAACAGUCAAGGUAGGUGAUCCAAGUCUCUCUGCUCUGCCCUCAAUAUGAGGUUUCCACUUGUGUGUUCAAAGUGACCGCUCCAGUCCUCCCCGUUGCCAGCCAGAAGGCAGGGAGAUAGAGGCCAAGAUGAACCACUCAGUCGUUUUAAGGAUAUAACUGGGAAGUUGCUUAUGUUGCUUGUAUCCAUGUCGUGUUGGCCAGUGCAUAGUCCCAUGACCACCCCCAGUGGAAAAGGAGUCUGGGAAAUGUAGUGUUUCACGGGGUAGCCCCAUGCCCAGCCAAAACUAUUACUUUUGAAGGAGAAAACAGAUUCGGGGAAGGUAAUUAACAGUCUGCCACAGGGAGAAAGAGAAGGAUUCCAUGUGAGGAGAAAAACUGUGAAAGAGAGAGCUGGUGGAUCAAAUUCUCAGCUGACUGGAAGCAAUCGGGGACAUAGAUUUGGAUUUAGUAGAAAAGAAGUGAAAACUUAAAGAAGAAAUGCACUGUCUGGAGAGCUAGAAUUCUUCACCUCUGAAAAAACAGUCAAGAAAAAUGGUAAGAAGAAUUUACACUCAAAGGGAGGAGGUACAAAAGGUCAGCCUUUCUGACUGGUGGCUGUGUGAUUGGAGGUGGGGCGGAGAGGAGAGGUACGGGAGACUCGCAGCCUAGAAACUGUUCAGAAGACGACAAUACUAGCCUGGACGUGAGGAAAUUCGGGUGGGAGCAGAAAGAGUGGACUGGAAGGAACGAAGUAAGAGAGAAAAACAGCUUGGUCGUCCACAUGUGUGCCUCCCGGCAGGCAGCUGGGGGCAGGGAAGGGCAGAGCUGGAGGGCACCAGAGCCUGGCCUCCUGAGGGGUUCAGAAUGGGGGGGAGGGGGCCUCCAGAAAGCUCUGCCUUUGCCGUGGUCGGGCACGGGCUUUGCUGCAUCUUCCCAAGCCCGACGAAUAGAACCCGGUUCUUUCUGGGUAAAACAAAGAGCAUCACAAGAAGCUCUGUUCCUGAGAAGGCGUUUUGUUCAUGAGCAAGUGUUUUUUCUCCAUCCGUCCCGAUUUUCAUUUCUGUUUACGUUCAGUAAGAGCAUUACUGAAUGUUAAAAUAAAGUGGCCUGUUUUCCCCUGCCCCUUCCUCGGUCACCAGAGGUAGGUAAUCUGUUCUGGAAAUGCACCUGUUCUCUGGAUUUAUAUGGGCUCUGAUAGGACAUGUUUGUGUAACAAUAAAAAUCAUUCCCUUUGGCAGAUACCUUGAUGCCCUGUGUUCUGUUCACGAGGGGUAUUUCGCAUCUGUUCAGUAGUAGCAUUUCCCCCACUAACCAGAUUCCCUAGGGUGGCCACGUUGUAUUCCAAAUCAAGGAAAUCAGAGCUUGUCACUCCUAACGGUUGGUCAGGGCCACGUCUAAAGGGUCGGAGCCCUAGAUGGAAGUACGCAAGCAACCCCUGCAGAUCCCCAAGAGAGGAGAGGCAGACAGUUGGCAAGGGCCUCCAGCGAAGGUCCUUCUUCCCCUCUCUGUCUAAGGCAUUCCCGUCUGGAAGGCAAGGACAUGCAUAAUGUCGGCGCAAUCGUAGCAGCUUCGUUGUACUGCUCGUUGUACUGAGCACCUGCUUUGUGCCAAGCGGUGGCCUGGGGACUUAGGUGCAUGAUCUCAUUUGUCCCUCAUGAUCGUCCUAUGUGUCAGGUUCUCUCUACCUCCCUUUUUAAAGAAGAGGGACCAGAAAGGUCAAGUGACUUGAGCAAGGUCACAUAGGAUUCGAACCUCACUCUGCUGGAUUCCAGAAUCCAAGCUCUUAAUUACUAUACUGAACUGCCUAGAUGGAGUAUGUAUUCUGAUGCUGUAUUGGCUGUUUUUCCGCUCUUGGGCAUUGUCAGCCAGGACGAUGAUGCCACAGGGGGAGGGUUUCCAGGAGGAGAUCGGGAAGAACAGGAGCAGGCAGAGCCUGAACCUGGGCCCUGGAGGGAGGUGCAGGGGACAGAAGGGAGCUUAGCUGAGGGAGCACAUGAGUCAAGUGGGGGGAUUCACUCCCAGGGAAGUUGGGUGGCAUGGGGGUGAAGAGCACAGGUUCUGAAAGCAGGGCGCCUGAGUUCACCCUUGCUGUGUGGCCUUGGCCAAGGUAGUCACCCUUUCUGUGCCUCAGUUUUCCCCUCUGUAAAAUGAGCAUAAGAAUAGUAUCCAUCUCAUAGGAUUGUCAUGAGGACUCGGCAAGGGAAUAUAUCUGAGACAGAGGCUGUUGCCCCCGCAUACCCCUCUUUCUUCUUUUUCCAUAGUAAUGACUCCCAAUUUUGAGCUAGACAUGUGGCCUCCCAGAAUAAAGACUAUACUUUCCAGCCUCCUUUGCAGCUCUAUCUGGUCUUAUAAGUAUGGCCAAUGAGAUAUAAGCAGAUGUUACGUGGCCACUACCUGGAGAGGCCAGCUGGUAUCUACUCUUUAUGCCCUUUUUCUUUUUUGUCCUUCUUCCAAUCUGCUGCCUGGAAUGGUGGAUGUGAUGUCUAGCAUUCUGCCUGCCAUGUCGAGAAUGAGGCCAAGAGUCUUUUUUUUUUUUUAAGUUUAUUUAUUUAUUUUGAGAGAGUGUCAGUGGGGGAGGGGUAGAGAGAGCGGAGAGAGAGAGAGAAUCCCAAGCAGGCUCUGCUCUGUGAGCACAGAGCCUGACACGGGGCUCAAACUCACGAGCCAUGAGAGCAAGACCCGAGCUGAAGUCAAGAGUCGAACGUUCGACUGACUGAGCCCCCCCAGGCACCCCUGAGGCCAAUACUCUUAAGGAUAAUGGAGCUGUGAGCUGGAUGGAGCCUGUGUCCCUGAAGAGAUCAUGAACAGAGCCACUAGACCAGUCGUUGGCCACCUACUUCUGUACUUUUACAGGAGAGAAAAACAACUAUCUUAGGUUACUUUAUUGUAAGAAUACGGUUUACAAUACUUGUGACAUAGAAAAUAGGUGCUAGUCGACGGUUUCUAUCACAGCUUCCUCACUGCAAAAAGGAGAUAGGUCGACCUCUCCCGUGUUGUGCGAUUAAGUGAGAUGAUAUAAAUGGAACGCCUUGCAUGGUGCCUGGCACGUGAAACCGCGUUCCAAGAUCAGGGAGGCAAGUGUCAGAAGGAGAAAACGGCCAGCGUCUCGAGCUCAGAAGAGAACAAGCCCCUGCUAUUCCCUCCACGACAACCACGGCAACAAUUGCCCCGGCCGCGACGGAGCUGGCUUCCCCUGCCCUUGGGUACCACACGACGUCCCGCACCCCCGUCAUCUUUCUGUGGGAUUUCUCUCCACACGCUCCACGGAGGAACCGGGUUCGGGUUACAUCGCAUCUUGUCAAUUCCACCAUACUGGCUGGCGUGCUUUCUUUCCCCGAGGCAAAAACAAAGUCUAGAUGAUGGAAACAGACCCGGAAGAGUCAGCAGGCAGCAAAAGGCAAGGCCUGGGAGGGAUGCUGGCCCAACUGUGCUAGGUUGGUUCCGAGGACUCGCUUCGGGACCCCUGCCUCAAAGAGCAAAGUGUAUUCCGGGAGAAGAAGCAGACAGCUUCCCGCACGUCACUAACCUUACGGAGCACCGCAGGGCAAAGACUGAGGAGACCAAAAUCUCUGGACACCCCAUGUUCUGGCUGGCGGCACACCAUCUGGUUAGCCAAGGACCUUCUUAAGCCAGGCCCCUGAAACUGAGCGUGGAACUUCCAGCAAGCUCUGGCCGAGCCGGGACCUGGCCUGAGGCCUGCAGACCCAGCACAGCCUCACACGUAGUUGAAGACCCGAGGAAUGGAUUCCACCAACAUCCAGAUGGGCAGUGAGGGGUGUCCAGAGAAAGCCACACUGUAUCUUUUGGCAAUCCGUAGACCCGGACAGAUCACUCUUCGUUGCAGGUUCAACAGGCAAGUUAUGGGCUGAGGAAAUGAUGUCUGCGGGCCUGCAACCCGGCGAGUUUGAGGACAGCCGGCCUGAGGAAGAGGCCAUCAUGGCGAGCGGAGGGGACAGGUGGCGAGAACUGGGUGUCCGGUGGCUCAGAAUGAGCCCCUCGGUCAGCCAACCUCCAUUCUGCCCCAUCUCCAUUCCUUCGAUAUGUUAAAUAAUUGUGCAAGCCGGUGCAGUUGGGCUUUUCUCUUACGACAACCAAAAGCGUCUUCCUGAUAACAAUGUUCAUAUUGUGGCUGUUGGGAGGUCCCCUUUCUGGGCUUUAUGUAGAGAAUUUGUCCCCUUUCUUGGUUCUACCUUGAAGUGUGGUGGUUAAGGAAGUCUCUGGGUUCACAUUCCACCUCUGUUUUUAUAGGCUGUGUCCAUUUAGGCAAAUCACUUCAUCUUUUGAGGUCUCAUUUCCUCAUCUGUCAAACGGGGGCCAUAAUAGUUUUCUGACUCUGGGGACAUAGGGAUUAAAUUAAAUGAGUUAAUAAAAGAAAAGCAUUGCAAACUGCCUCGCACAUCUUUGAUGCUGAAUAGGUGCUAGUUGUGAUUAGAGUCUUUUUAGUUUUUUGCUUGGAUCUCUCUCCGCCGAGGACGCUAGAAAUUCAAUUCCAACUAAUCCAAGCAAACAAAGAAAAGUCAUCAGCAGCCUCGGGCCCCGAGAUGGGGUACCGAAUCAGGAAGAGCUGUUGAAUCAAGCCCCUGAGGAUGGGAUGUGGAGCUUCUAGAUGAGAGGUUGUGGCUUCUGGCUCCCCGUAAGAAUCACCCAGAGGGUUUUUUUUUUUUUAAGUCUCUGAGGCCCAGGCUACACUCAGGCCAAUUAACUAAAAAUUUCUGGGGUCGGACCCAGACAUCAGCGGGUGUAAAGCUCAGGGGAUCCCAGCGUGCAGACGAGGCUGAGAACCACUGCGCAGACGAUCUCUUCAUCAGACUUGCUUCUCUCUGUCGGGUUCCAUUCUACAGAAAGCUCGUCCCACCAUGGCCUCAGAUGUCUACCCUCCUAUCAUAGUCUCGAUAGAAAAAAAAGAAGCAAUUAACAAAGCAUCUUUCAGUAUCUGCAUUCUGCAUGUCAGAGGAUUUGUCCUGCUUCAUCCGUCUCCUGCGGGUCCUCUUUUCUUUCUUUCUUUUUAUUUAUUUAUUUAUUUAUUUAUUUAUUUAUUUUUGAGAGAGAGAAAGAUCAGGGGAGCGGCAGAGGGAGGGAGGGAGAGAAAGAGAGAGAGAGAGAGAGAAUCUCCAGCUGUCAGCUCAGAGCCCAGUUCCAGGCUCGAACUCACAAAAUGUGAGAUCAUGACCUGAGCUGACCUUAGCUGAAAACAAGAGUCCGAUGAUUAACCGACGGAGCCACCCAGGCGCCCCCUCACCCCUAUCCCUGCUCGUCCUUCUUAUUCUGAUCACUGUUGCGGAGGGCUGGGGUACAAGCCACUCCAGUGACCAGGAAUCUUGAUCGACAGCACACCAGACGCAUUUGGGAUGAGACAGCUAUUCCCUCAAAGAUCUAAGAGGAUCGACCAGGGGAAAAUUGUAUGUAUCAUCUAAUUAAAUAAAACUGGUUACACGUCA